UACGGAGGGUGCAAGCGUUAUCCGGAUUCACUGGGUUUAAAGGGUGCGUAGGUGGGUCUGUAAGUCCGUGGUGAAAUCUCCGAGCUUAACUUGGAAACUGCCAUGGAUACUAUAGGUCUUGAAUACUGUGGAGGUCAGCGGAAUAUGUCAUGUAGCGGUGAAAUGCUUAGAUAUGACAUAGAACACCAAUUGCGAAGGCAGCUGGCUGCACAAAUAUUGACACUGAUGGACGAAAGCGUGGGGAUCAAACAGG
rnacentral:rRNA from 1 species